rnacentral:rRNA from 1 species
CUAGUAAUCGCGGAUCAGAAUGCCGCGGUGAAUACGUUCCCGGGUCUUGUACACACCGCCCGUCACACCAUGGGAGUCGGAAAUGCCCGAAGUCUGUGACCUAACCGCAAGGGAGGAGCAGCCGAAGGCAGGUCGGAUGACUGGGGUGAAGUCGUAACAAGGUAUC